rnacentral:rRNA from 1 species
AGAGUUUGAUCCUGGCUCAGAUUGAACGCUGGCGGAAUGCUUUACACAUGCAAGUCGAACGAUGAACCUUAGCUUGCUAAGGGGAUUAGUGGCGAACGGGUGAGUAAUAUAUCGGAACGUGCCUUGUAAUGGGGGAUAACUAGUCGAAAGAUUAGCUAAUACCGCAUACGCCCUGAGGGGGAAAGUAGGGGAUCUUCGGACCUUACGUUAUAAGAGCGGCCGAUAUCUGAUUAGCUAGUUGGUGGGGUAAUGGCCUACCAAGGCGACGAUCAGUAGCUGGUCUAAGAGGACGACCAGCCACACUGGAACUGAGACACGGUCCAGACUCCUACGGGAGGCAGCAGUGGGGAAUUUUGGACAAUGGGCGAAAGCCUGAUCCAGCCAUUCCGCGUGAGUGAAGAAGGCCUUCGGGUUGUAAAGCUCUUUCGCAAGGGAAGAAAACUUACAUUCUAAUAAAGUGUGAGGCUGACGGUACCUUGAUAAGAAGCACCGGCUAACUACGUGCCAGCAGCCGCGGUAAUACGUAGGGUGCGAGCGUCAAUCGGAAUUACUGGGCGUAAUGCGUGCGCAGGCGGUUUGGCAAGUCAGAUGUGAAAUCCCCGAGCUCAACUUGGGAACUGCGUUUGAAACUGCCAGACUAGAAUAUGUCAGAGGGGGGUAGAAUUCCACGUGUAGCAGUGAAAUGCGUAGAGAUGUGGAGGAAUACCAAUGGCGAAGGCAGCCCCCUGGGAUAAUAUUGACGCUCAUGCACGAAAGCGUGGGGAGCAAACAGGAUUAGAUACCCUGGUAGUCCACGCCCUAAACGAUGUCUACUAGGUGUUGGUGGAGUAAAAUCCAUGAGUAACGCAGCUAACGCGUGAAGUAGACCGCCUGGGGGAGUACGGUCGCAAGAUAAAACUCAAAGGAAUUGACGG